UCCGGCGCCUUCGACCCCCGGUCCAUCGUCCUCGCCGUCUCCGGCAUGUCAAUCUCGUCGGAAUCCCACCAUCCAGAUCUUCAUCAACACUCCCUUCACAGCACUCUGUCCGUCGUCGGGGACGAAACCUGGCCGGGAGAAAUAUCUUAUAUCCUAGUUGCUGUUUUAAUAUGGGGGGUUCUUCUGUUUGCUGCAAGUCUAGGUGCGAGGAUAGAGUUUUAACAUCAAUUCGGGGACUGUUCAAUGACUCUGAGCUUGAUUCAUUUGGCCUUAUCCCGUCAAGCUUGGUAGGUGAAGAUUACGCAAAAUCUGUGAAGAUGAGUUCUUUGCAAUUGAAUUUCACCGACCUCUGCAACAACGGAUCAUCCCUCGAUGAGCUCAAUACAAUUUUCCACUAACUACUGCAAUUGAAUUUUGGGAUGGUGUUGGAGAUGCUCUAAAGAAAGCAAGUGAUGCCAGUUAGCUACUGCAACUAAGCACUGUAUAGUACUCUGUUCUUGUCCAUCCUUUAGCUACAAAAUGAAGUCUCAUCUACAUUUCAUGCUGAGGAACUCAAGCUAUCAUGUGGAUCUAUUGUUCACAGUAAAAAACUUAUGUAUUCAGUUAUUUACAUGUAACUAUCGGAUUGAUGUAUCGAAAAUCAAUUAAAAAGCUAUCGUCCGAUCAUGUCCAUUACCGCCC